rnacentral:rRNA from 2 species
GACUGGGAUAACUCCGGGAAACCGGGGCUAAUACCGGAUGCUUGAUUGAACCGCAUGGUUCAAUUAUAAAAGGUGGCUUUUAGCUACCACUUACAGAUGGACCCGCGGCGCAUUAGCUAGUUGGUGAGGUAACGGCUCACCAAGGCGACGAUGCGUAGCCGACCUGAGAGGGUGAUCGGCCACACUGGGACUGAGACACGGCCCAGACUCCUACGGGAGGCAGCAGUAGGGAAUCUUCCGCAAUGGACGAAAGUCUGACGGAGCAACGCCGCGUGAGUGAUGAAGGUUUUCGGAUCGUAAAACUCUGUUGUUAGGGAAGAACAAGUACCGUUCGAAUAGGGCGGUACCUUGACGGUACCUAACCAGAAAGCCACGGCUAACUACGUGCCAGCAGCCGCGGUAAUACGUAGGUGGCAAGCGUUGUCCGGAAUUAUUGGGCGUAAAGCGCGCGCAGGCGGUUUCUUAAGUCUGAUGUGAAAGCCCCCGGCUCAACCGGGGAGGGUCAUUGGAAACUGGGGAACUUGAGUGCAGAAGAGGAGAGUGGAAUUCCACGUGUAGCGGUGAAAUGCGUAGAGAUGUGGAGGAACACCAGUGGCGAAGGCGACUCUCUGGUCUGUAACUGACGCUGAGGCGCGAAAGCGUGGGGAGCGAACAGGAUUAGAUACCCUGGUAGUCCACGCCGUAAACGAUGAGUGCUAAGUGUUAGAGGGUUUCCGCCCUUUAGUGCUGCAGCAAACGCAUUAAGCACUCCGCCUGGGGAGUACGGUCGCAAGACUGAAACUCAAAGGAAUUGACGGGGGCCCGCACAAGCGGUGGAGCAUGUGGUUUAAUUCGAAGCAACGCGAAGAACCUUACCAGGUCUUGACAUCCUCUGACAACCCUAGAGAUAGGGCUUCCCCUUCGGGGGCAGAGUGACAGGUGGUGCAUGGUUGUCGUCAGCUCGUGUCGUGAGAUGUUGGGUUAAGUCCCGCAACGAGCGCAACCCUUGAUCUUAGUUGCCAGCAUUCAGUUGGGCACUCUAAGGUGACUGCCGGUGACAAACCGGAGGAAGGUGGGGAUGACGUCAAAUCAUCAUGCCCCUUAUGACCUGGGCUACACACGUGCUACAAUGGGCAGAACAAAGGGCAGCGAAGCCGCGAGGCUAAGCCAAUCCCACAAAUCUGUUCUCAGUUCGGAUCGCAGUCUGCAACUCGACUGCGUGAAGCUGGAAUC